rnacentral:lncRNA from 1 species
UUAACUUACUCUAUAAAUUUAUAGUAUUGUAGUUACAACGUAAGUGGUUAAGGUGUAAUUUAUUUUUUUUCUUCUUCUCUUUUGCCUUCCCUAACUCUUGGUCGUAUUAAAUUAAAUUACAUUAUCUCGUUUAAUAAAUUUGGUCAAUUACACAUCCCUGCUCUGUUCAAUAUUAAAGUUACUUAAUCCUAGACAAUAAAAAAAAAGAAAGGUUUCUUUUUUUUUGCUGGAGAUAAGGGAGAAUGUAGCAGUUAGGCUACGGACCAUUUAAAAUUAAAUACAUUGAUUUGCGAUUAAUUCAAUUUAAAUAAAUAAAUAAAAUUAACAAGUACUAUCCCUCCAGAAAUUUCUUUUCGUGCCGCCAGCGAUAAAAUUAAAAGGUAUUUUUACCAUCAGAUGGCUUGCGCGCCGCGAUCGAUUUCCGUUAUCGAUCGAAAUUCCGGCAGUUUUGGUCAGAAACUCAUCAAGAGCGUAUAUAGUGUGCAGCACAAUUUCUCUUUUUUAAGCGGCGAAGAUCUAGAAUCAAUCAAAUAUACGCCAUUUAAAUGAAAUAAAGACAUCAUAAAUACUAUUUAUCCAAAAAUCCAACGGUUAAAUCCACAGUAACCAAAGUUAUACGAAUUUAAGUUUCAAAACCACACCGUAAUGGCGAUGGCGACCAAUUAUUAAUAACUGUCAGCUGCACACACAUUCUAGACUUUGCCGCAUCCCAUAGUCCAAAUCCUUGGAAUGUUGUAGAGCAUCCUAAGGACACCUGUAACUUGGCUUUGUUUCCAACAGCCUUCCAGACGCUUUAGA